CAGAAAAUGGAGGAAGAAUUACUACAAAAUGAAUCUUUGGUUUACAGCCAGAGGAAGACCCGACUUGUAGAUGCAGUGAAAGGACUUGGCCUUCUACAGGAAUGAAGACCAAGUGGAAGAUUUCAAUGGAAGUAAAUACAAGUGACAUGAAAAAUCUGCCGAUUUAUUCCUAACGUGAUGUCUCACCUUUGAAAAAAUUUACAUUUGGACAUCUUCAUCUUCUAUCUGCACAGUCUCCUGUGCUAUAAAUAACACAAUUCAGUUGACCUUGACAUAUGAAUAAGGAGAGCAGUGCAUCAUCUGACUCUUCCCUGGGCUUCUUUGGAAUGACUCUUUUGGAAUUGUUUUUUUCUGACCCACUCUCACAAUGUGGAGAAGGAGCAGAGGCCUCCUGUAAUCCUGCUGAGGCUGGACU